rnacentral:rRNA from 1 species
GACGAACGCUGGCGGCGUGCCUAAUACAUGCAAGUUGAGCGCUGAAGGUUGGUACUUGUACCAACUGGAUGAGCAGCGCACGGGUGAGUAACGCGUGGGGAAUCUGCCUUUGAGCGGGGGACAACAUUUGGAAACGAAUGCUAAUACCGCAUAAAAACUUUAAACACAAGUUUUAAGUUUGAAAGAUGCAAUUGCAUCACUCAAAGAUGAUCCCGCGUUGUAUUAGCUAGUUGGUGAGGUAAAGGCUCACCAAGGCGAUGAUACAUAGCCGACCUGAGAGGGUGAUCGGCCACAUUGGGACUGAGACACGGCCCAAACUCCUACGGGAGGCAGCAGUAGGGAAUCUUCGGCAAUGGACGAAAGUCUGACCGAGCGACGCCGCGUGAGUGAAGAAGGUUUUCGGAUCGUAAAACUCUGUUGGUAGAGAAGAACGUUGGUGAGAGUGGAAAGCUCAUCAAGUGACGGUAACUACCCAGAAAGGGACGGCUAACUACGUG